UACGUAGGGGGCAAGCGUUGUCCGGAAUUAUUGGGCGUAAAGAGCUCGUAGGCGGUCUGUCGCGUCGGCUGUGAAAACCUGGGGCUUAACCCCGGGCCUGCAGCCGAUACGGGCAGACUAGAGUUCGGCAGGGGAGACUGGAAUUCCUGGUGUAGCGGUGAAAUGCGCAGAUAUCGGGAAGAACACCCGUGGCGAAGGCGGCACUCUGGGACGGUACUGACGCUGAGACGCGAAAGCGUGGGGAGCGAACAGG
rnacentral:rRNA from 1 species